CGUAGCUUAAGCAAAAGCAUUCAGCUUACACCUGAAAAAUAUCUGCUAACACCAGAUCGUCUUGAUGCCAAACUCUAGCCCAAUCGACAUGACCUGGAAUAACAAAGCUACUACAUACACCCAACUAAAGCAUUCACUAGUCCUAGUAUAGGCGAUAGAAAAGACACCAUUGGAGCGAUAGAGACCACGUACCGUAAGGGAAAGAUGAAAUAACAAUGAAAACUAAGCUAUAAACAGCAAAGAUCAACCCUUGUACCUUUUGCAUCAUGGUCUAGCAAGAAAAACCAAGCAAAAUGAAUUUAAGUUUGCCAUCCCGAAACCCAAGCGAGCUACCUACGAGCAGCUGUCAGAGCGAACCCGUCUCUGUGGCAAAAGAGUGGGAUGACUUGUCGGUAGAGGUGAAAAGCCAAUCGAGCUGGGUGAUAGCUGGUUGCCUGUGAAACGAAUCUAAGUUCACUCUUAAUUCUUCUCCAAGGAAACUCAAGAACCCUAAUGAAGCGAAUUAAGGGCUAUUUAAAGGAGGUACAGCUCCUUUAAAAAAGAAUACAAUCUCUACGAGCGGAUAAAUAAUAACAUACGAACUUACUGUGGGCCCUUAAGCAGCCAUCAACAAAGAGUGCGUUAAAGCUCCGUACCCAAAAAAUAUAAGAAUUUUAUGACUCCCUCCCCACUAACAGGCUAACCUAUAUACAAAUAGGAGAAUUAAUGCUAGAAUGAGUAACCAGGGUCCUCCCUCUACGACGCAAGCUUACAUCUAUACAUUAUUAACAAACCACCAAUAUACGAUAAAUCAAACAAGCAGAGUAUUAGGUAUCUUGUUAACCCGACAGAGGAGCGUCCAUUAAGAAAGAUUAAAACCUGUAAAAGGAACUAGGCAAACCCGUCAAGGCCCGACUGUUUACCAAAAACAUAGCCUUCAGCAAACCAACAAACAAGUAUUGAAGGUGAUGCCUGCCCGGUGACUCACGUUUAACGGCCGCGGUAUCCUAACCGUGCAAAGGUAGCGCAAUCAAUUGUCCCAUAAAUCGAGACUUGUAUGAAUGGCUAAACGAGGUCUUAACUGUCUCUUACAGGCAAUCGGUGAAAUUGAUCUCCCUGUACAAAAGCAGGGAUAAACCCAUAAGACGAGAAGACCCUGUGGAACUUCAAAACCAACGACCACCUUAUAUCACAUAUACACCCACUGGGCUCACUGACACAUAAGAGAUUGGUACGUGUUUUUCGGUUGGGGCGACCUUGGAGUAAAACAAAGCCUCCAAAAAUUAGACCAUAAAUCUAGACUAAGAGCAACCCCUCAACGUGCUAACAGCACCCAGACCCAAUAUAAUUGAUCAAUGGACCAAGCUACCCCAGGGAUAACAGCGCAAUCUCCUCCGAGAGUCCGUAUCGACGGGGAGGUUUACGACCUCGAUGUUGGAUCAGGACAUCCUAGUGGUGCAGCCGCUACUAAGGGUUCGUUUGUUCAACGAUUAACAGUCCUACGUGAUCUGAGUUCAGACCGGAGUAAUCCAGGUCGGUUUCCAUCUAUGAUGAACUCUUCCCAGUACGAAAGGAUAGGAAAAGUGAGGCCAAUACUACAAGCAAGCCUUCGCCUUAAGUAAUGAAGUCAACUAAAUUACGAAAAGCUAUCACACCCCCCCACAUCCAAGAAAAGGACCAGCUAGCGUGGCAGAGUUCGGAAAAUGCAAAAGGCUUAAGUCCUUUAACCCAGAGGUUCAAAUCCUCUCCCUAGCUCCAAACUACCCCAUGACCAACUACCCUCUCCUAAUUAACCUCAUCAUAGCCCUCUCCUAUGCUCUCCCAAUCCUGAUCGCAGUAGCCUUCCUAACACUAGUAGAACGUAAAAUCCUAAGUUAUAUACAAAGCCGAAAAGGCCCAAAUAUCGUGGGACCAUUCGGACUCCUCCAACCCCUAGCAGAUGGCAUCAAAUUAUUUAUCAAAGAACCCAUCUGACCAUCAACAUCCUCCCCAAUCCUAUUUAUCACAACGCCCAUGCUAGCCCUCCUCCUAGCAAUUUCAAUUUGAAUACCACUCCCCCUACCAUUCUCCCUAGCGGACCUAAACCUAGGCGUUCUAUUCCUACUAGUCAUAUCAAGCCUAGCAGUGUACUCCAUCUUAUGAUCAGGAUGGGUCUCCAACUCAAAAUACGCCUUAAUUGGGGCACUCCGAGCAGUAGCCCAAACAAUCUCCUACAAAGUAACCUUAGCGAUUAUCCUACUAUCUGUCAUCCUCCUCAUCAGAAACUACACCCUAAGUACCCUAGCAGUCACCCAAAAACCCUUCUACCUCAUCUUCCCAUGCUGACCACUAGCCAUAAUAUGAUAUGUAUCCACGCUAGCCGAAACAAAUCGUGCCCCAUUCGACCUAACAGAGGGAGAAUCUGAACUAGUCUCCGGAUUUAACGUAGAAUAUGCAGCAGGUCCAUUCGCCCUAUUCUUCCUAGCCGAAUACGCCAACAUCAUACUAAUAAACGCACUGACUACCAUCCUAUUCUUUAACCCAAGCUUCCUCAACCCCCAACAAGAAUUAUUUCCAGUAGUACUAGCAACAAAAGUACUCCUCCUAUCAGCAGGAUUCCUGUGAAUCCGUGCUUCCUACCCGCGAUUCCGAUACGACCAGCUAAUACACCUACUAUGAAAAAACUUCCUCCCACUCACAUUAGCCCUAUGCCUAUGACACAUCAGCAUACCAAUUUGCUAUGCAGGCCUACCCCCAUACCUAAGACAACCGGAAAUGUGCCUGAACACUUAAGGGUCACUAUGAUAAAGUGAACAUAGAGGUGCACCAAUCCUCUCAUUUCCUGAUACUUAGAAAAGUAGGGAUCGAACCUACACUAGAGAAAUCAAAACCCUCUAUACUUCCUUUAUAUUAUUUUCUAGCAGGGUCAGCUAAACAAGCUAUCGGGCCCAUACCCCGAAAAUGAUGGUUCAACCCCUUCCCCUGCUAAUGAACCCCCAAGCAAAACUAAUCUUCAUCACCAGCCUCCUAUUAGGCACUACCAUUACAAUUUCAAGCAACCAUUGAAUUAUAGCCUGAACUGGGCUAGAAAUCAACACACUCGCUAUCCUACCACUAAUCUCAAAAUCCCAUCACCCCCGAGCCAUCGAAGCCGCAACCAAGUACUUCCUAACCCAAGCAGCUGCCUCAGCCCUAGUAUUAUUCUCCAGCAUAACCAACGCAUGACAUACCGGACAAUGAGAUAUUACCCAACUAACCCACCCAACAUCCUGCCUGAUCCUAACCUCCGCAAUUGCAAUAAAACUGGGCCUGGUACCCUUCCACUUCUGAUUCCCAGAAGUACUACAAGGCUCUCCCCUUACCACCGGACUCAUCCUAUCCACAGCCAUAAAACUACCACCCAUAACACUCCUCUUUAUAACCUCACCCUCCCUAAACCCUGCCCUUCUGACUACCAUAGCCAUCCUCUCAACAGCCCUGGGAGGAUGAAUAGGACUGAACCAAACACAAGUCCGAAAAGUUCUAGCCUUCUCAUCCAUCUCCCACCUAGGAUGAAUAGCUAUCAUCAUCACGUACAACCCCAAACUCACCCUCCUCAAUUUCUACCUAUACACACUAAUAACCGCAGCUGUAUUCCUAACCCUAAAUUCAAUCAAAGUCCUAAAACUAUCAACCCUAAUAACUGCAUGAACAAAAGCCCCAUCACUAAGCGCAAUACUAAUACUAACUCUACUAUCCCUUGCAGGACUGCCCCCUCUAAAAGGAUUCCUCCCAAAAUGACUCAUCAUCCAAGAAUUAACCAAACAAGACAUAGCCCCAGCAGCCACAAUCAUCUCCCUACUAUCCCUGCUAGGACUAUUCUUCUACCUCCGACUUGCAUAUUGCGCAACCAUCACACUCCCCCCACACACCAUCAGCCACAUAAAACAAUGGCAUGUUAACAAACCAACUAAAACCCUAGUCGCCAUCCUGACUUCCCUAUCCAUCACUCUCCUCCCAAUUGCCCCAAUAAUCAUCACCAUCAUCUAAGAAACUUAGGAUCACUUAAACCGAAGGCCUUCAAAGCCUUAAACAAGAGUUAAACCCUCUUAGUUUCUGAUAAAGUCCGCAGGACAUUACCCUGCAUCUCCCAAACGCAACUCGGGCACUUUAAUUAAGCUAGGACCUUACCCACCAACUAGGCAGAUGGGCUUCGAUCCCACAACACUAUAGUUAACAGCUAUAUGCCCAAACCAACAGGCUUCUACCUACAGACCCCGGCGCAUAAUUAAUGCACAUCAAUGAGCUUGCAACUCACCAUGAACUUCACCACAGGGCUGAUAAGAAGAGGAAUUAAACCUCUGUAAAAAGGACUACAGCCUAACGCUUAUACACUCAGCCAUCUUACCUAUGACAUACAUUAACCGAUGAUUAUUCUCAACCAACCACAAAGACAUCGGAACCCUAUACCUAAUCUUCGGCGCCUGAGCCGGAAUAGUGGGUACCGCCCUAAGCCUCCUCAUUCGAGCAGAAUUAGGCCAACCUGGAGCCCUCCUAGGAGACGACCAAGUAUACAACGUCGUCGUCACGGCCCAUGCUUUUGUGAUAAUCUUCUUCAUAGUUAUACCAAUCAUGAUCGGAGGAUUUGGAAACUGACUAGUACCUCUGAUGAUCGGAGCCCCAGACAUAGCAUUCCCACGAAUAAAUAACAUAAGCUUCUGACUUCUACCCCCAUCCUUCCUCCUACUACUAGCAUCCUCAACAGUCGAAGCAGGAGUUGGAACGGGCUGAACAGUGUACCCCCCACUAGCCGGAAACCUAGCCCAUGCUGGAGCUUCAGUAGACCUAGCUAUCUUCUCCCUGCACUUAGCAGGCAUUUCCUCAAUCCUAGGGGCAAUCAAUUUCAUCACAACAGCAAUCAACAUAAAACCACCUGCCCUAUCACAAUACCAAACCCCCCUAUUCGUAUGAUCCGUACUAAUCACUGCAGUCCUACUUCUACUAUCACUUCCAGUCCUAGCUGCUGGAAUCACAAUGCUCCUCACAGACCGUAACCUAAACACAACAUUCUUUGACCCAGCAGGUGGAGGAGACCCAGUACUAUACCAACACCUCUUCUGAUUCUUUGGUCACCCAGAAGUUUACAUCCUAAUCCUACCAGGUUUCGGCAUCAUCUCCCACGUCGUAACCUACUAUUCAGGUAAAAAAGAACCAUUCGGAUAUAUAGGAAUAGUAUGAGCUAUGCUAUCCAUUGGAUUCCUAGGAUUCAUCGUAUGAGCCCACCACAUGUUUACAGUAGGAAUGGACGUAGACACCCGAGCAUACUUUACAUCCGCCACUAUAAUCAUCGCCAUCCCAACCGGCAUCAAAGUAUUCAGCUGACUAGCAACACUCCACGGAGGCACAAUCAAGUGAGACCCACCAAUACUAUGAGCCCUAGGAUUUAUUUUCCUAUUUACCAUCGGAGGCCUAACCGGAAUCGUCCUGGCCAACUCCUCACUAGACAUCGCCCUACACGACACCUACUACGUAGUAGCCCACUUCCACUACGUCCUAUCAAUAGGAGCAGUGUUUGCAAUCCUAGCAGGAUUCACCCACUGAUUCCCCCUAUUCACAGGGUACACACUCCACUCAACAUGAGCCAAAGUACACUUCGGAGUAAUAUUCGUAGGAGUAAACCAAACGUUCUUCCCCCCCUUCUUAGGCCUAGCUGGCAUGCCACGACAAUACUCGGACUACCCAGACACCUACACACUAUGAAACACCAUCUCAUCAGUAGGAUCACUCAUCUCCCUAACAGCUGUAAUCAUACUAGUGUUCAUUAUCUGAGAAGCUUUCGCAUCAAAACGUAAAGUCCUACAACCAGAACUAACAAGCACUAAUAUUGAAUGAAUUCACGGCUGCCCACCACCCUUCCACACAUUCGAAGAACCAGCCUUCGUCCAAGUCCAAGAAAGGAAGGAGUCGAACCCCCGCAUGUUGGUUUCAAGCCAACCGCAUAACCACCUAUGCUUCUUUCUCAUAAA